GGCCCCUUGGCGGAACGGCAGACGCAGGGGAUUUAAAAUCCUUCGCCCGAAAGGGCGUCCCGGUUCGAGUCCGGGAGGGGCCA
rnacentral:tRNA from 1 species